rnacentral:rRNA from 1 species
UGGAGGCAGCAGUGGGGAAUAUUGGACAAUGGACCGAGAGUCUGAUCCAGCAAUUCUGUGUGCACGAUGAAGUUUUUCGGAAUGUAAAGUGCUUUCAGUUGGGAAGAAAGAAAUGACGGUACCAACAGAAGAAGUGACGGCUAAAUACGUGCCAGCAGCCGCGGUAAUACGUAUGUCACGAGCGUUAUCCGGAUUUAUUGGGCGUAAAGCGCGUCUAGGUGGUUAUGUAAGUCUGAUGUGAAAAUGCAGGGCUCAACUCUGUAUUGCGUUGGAAACUGUAUAACUAGAGUACUGGAGAGGUAAGCGGAACUACAAGUGUAGAGGUGAAAUUCGUAGAUAUUUGUAGGAAUGCCGAUGGGGAAGCCAGCUUACUGGACAGAUACUGACGCUGAAGCGCGAAAGCGUGGGUAGCAAACAGGAUUAGAUACCCUGGUAGUCCACGCCGUAAACGAUGAUUACUAGGUGUUGGGGGUCGAACCUCAGCGCCCAAGCAAACGCGAUAAGUAAUCCGCCUGGGGAGUACGUACGCAAGUAUGAAACUCAAAGGAAUUGACGGA